AGUGAACGCUGGCGGUAGGCCUAACACAUGCAAGUCGAACGGCAGCACAGUAAGAGCUUGCUCUUACGGGUGGCGAGUGGCGGACGGGUGAGGAAUACAUCGGAAUCUACUUUUUUGUGGGGGAUAACGUAGGGAAACUUACGCUAAUACCGCAUACGACCUACGAGUGAAAGCAGGGGAUCUUCGGACCUUGCGCGAUUGAAUGAGCCGAUGUCGGAUUAGCUAGUUGGCGGGGUAAAGGCCCACCAAGGCGACGAUCCGUAGCUGGUCUGAGAGGAUGAUCAGCCACACUGGAACUGAGACACGGUCCAGACUCCUACGGGAGGCAGCAGUGGGGAAUAUUGGACAAUGGGCGCAAGCCUGAUCCAGCCAUACCGCGUGGGUGAAGAAGGCCUUCGGGUUGUAAAGCCCUUUUGUUGGGAAAGAAAAGCAGCAGGUUAAUACCCCGCUGUUCUGACGGUACCCAAAGAAUAAGCACCGGCUAACUUCGUG
rnacentral:rRNA from 1 species